rnacentral:rRNA from 1 species
GUGCGAACGUUGUUCGGAAUCACUGGGCUUAAAGGGCGCGUAGGCGGGCGGGCAAGUCAGAGGUGAAAGCCCACGGCUCAACCGUGGAAGUGCCCCUGAUACUGCUCGUCUGGAGGGGGAUAGGGGCGUGCGGAACUUCCGGUGGAGCGGUGAAAUGCGUAGAUAUCGGAAGGAACACCGGUGGCGAAAGCGGCGCGCUGGAUCCCUACUGACGCUGAGGCGCGAAAGCCAGGGGAGCAAACGGG